ACGCUCGACACCUACGGGAGGCAGCAGUGGGAAUAUUGCACAAUGGGGGAAACCCUGAUGCAGCGACGCCGCGUGGAGGAAGAAGGUCUUCGGAUUGUAAACUCCUGUUGUUGGGAAAAAGAGGAUGGUACCCAACAAGGAAGUGACGGCUAACUACGUGCUAGCAGCCGCGGUAAUCUGAGCGGGCUGGCAAGGC
rnacentral:rRNA from 1 species